AGCAGCCGCGGUAAUUCCAGCUCCAAUAGCGUAUAUUAAAGUUGUUGCAGUUAAAAAGCUCGUAGUUGAACUUCGGGAUCAAUUAGUUGGUCAUGCCUUGGUAUGUACUGAUUUUAUUGGUUCUCACCUUCUAAAGAACUAUAAUGUCAUUUAUUUGAUGUUAUAGGGAAUUAGGACUGUUACCUUGAAAAAAUUAGAGUGUUUAAAGCAGGCUCACGCUUGAAUACAUUAGCAUGGAAUAAUGAAAUAGGACAUCGCAUUCUAUUUUGUUGGUUUCUAGGAUCGAUGUAAUGAUUAAUAGGGAUAGUUGGGGGCAUUAGUAUUCAAUUGUCAGAGGUGAAAUUCUUGGAUUUAUUGAAGACUAACUACUGCGAAAGCAUUUGCCAAGGAUGUUU
rnacentral:rRNA from 1 species